rnacentral:rRNA from 1 species
AUUAGGAAUCUUGCGCAAUGGGCGAAAGCCUGACGCAGCGACGCCGCGUGGAGGAGGAAGUCCUUCGGGAUGUAAACUCCUUUUUCCAGGGAAGAAAGGGCUCAAUGCCUAUGACGGUACCUGGUGAAUAAGCCCCGGCUAACUACGUGCCAGCAGCCGCGGUAAUACGUAGGGGGCGAGCGUUGUCCGAAGUUACUGGGCGUAAAGCGCGCGUAGGCGGGAGAUUAAGUGAGAGGUGAAAGGCUGGGGCUCAACCCCAUGCAGUGCCUCUCAUACUGGUUUUCUUGAGGGCGGUAGGGAGAAGUGGGAUGGCUGGUGUAGCGGUGAAAUGCGUAGAUAUCAGUCGGAACACCGGUGGCGAAGGCGGCUUCUUGGGCCGUUCCUGACGCUGAGGCGCGAAAGCUGGGGGAGCGAACGG